AAAAAUUAACCCUUUAGAAUCUGAUCUCAUUUCCCACAAUGAUAGAGUUAGGGUGUUCCAUUGAUCUAGUGCAUGAAUUUAUGUGCACAUGUACUGGGCUUUUGAAUGUUGAACAUUCACAGGCUUUGGAUUUUCAAUAUCCAUAAAGUGUCUGACAACAUGCAUGAUGUUGAUUUGCAUUUACUAUCUUGGAGGAUGUCUCCCCCUAUUUUCUCGAAUGCUUGUAAUAAGCUAUAUCCCUA
rnacentral:lncRNA from 1 species